AUGCCGGCUGAGAUCUUUUGGCACGGCACCCAGUGUGCCCAUCACCACCGGGACCACCUGCACUGGUUUCUGCCAGAGUCUUUGAAGUUCAAUCUUGAGGUCCUGAUAGCGGCUGAGUUUUUCCUGUUGUUUUUCGUCAAUGCGACUGUCACCUGGGAUGGCAACAUCAAUGAUCCAAACCUUUUUCUUUUCCACAACUGUGAUGUCUGGUGUGUUGUGUUCCAGAACUUUGUCAGUCUGGAUUCGGAAGUCCCAAAGUAUCUUUGCGUGCUCAUUUUCCAAUACUUUUGCAGGUUUGUGAUCCCACCAGUUAUUAUUAUUAUUAUUAUUGUUAUUAUUAUUCAGGCAUGGUCAACAUCCCAUUUCUAGUGCUAAAGAGCCAUUCAGAUGCCAGGUCAAUUACUAUGGUGACCCUUUGGGUUUGGUUCCAGGGCACCACCUCCCACUCCGAGAAUACCAAAAUCUGUUGAUGUUCAAGUCCCAUUAUAUACAAUGGCAUAGUAAAAUGGUGCACCUUAUAUAAAAUGGUAGAUUUAAGGUUUUCUUUUUUGAAUGGUUUCUUUUGGAAUAUUUUUAAGCCCAGGAUGGUUGAAUAUGUGGAUAUGAAGAGCCGAGGGCAUAUGUCAACUGCGAAAAAGAUGGUCCUUUCACCCAGCCAGCAAAAUAUUUUAAGUUGAUCUUGCAGAAAGCUAUUAAUCUGAGUUCUUCUUGUUGUUGUACUGAAAAUCUUCCCAUCUUCUUAGCUAUAAAUGUCAGCAUGAACAAGCACAGGCCAUUAAAUGAGAGCGAACACACACACAGGUGUACAGUAAAAUACACACUGAGGUCUGUUGGACUGUACCACCUCAGACUGUAGAUGGGAGCUCACAAGACUGAACAGUCCUAUAAAUCUGUUGCCACUACAUCAAAAGUGUGGGAAACUGAAGUCGAGGCUAGUAUGUUUUUUGUCUUCACAUGCUUUUUGUGUGCAGGAGUGUGUUUAUGUAUGAGUAUAUGAAAGAGAGUGGUGGAGAAGGAAUCCCAAAUAGUGUCUGGGAAGGUAUGCCUUAUUGGAGUUUGGAGAUCCAAAGGCUUUCGAAAAUCCAGAGGAGCCCAACUGCAUGGCAAGUGCCCACUGGAGGUUGGCUUUGGGGCCAAAUUAAUAUACAGUAGAGUCUCACUUAUCCAAGCUAAACGGGCCAGCAGAAGCUUGGAUAAGAGAAUAUCUUGGAUAAUAAGGAGGGAUUAAGGAAAAGCCUAUUAAACAUCAAAUUAGGUUAUGAUUUUACAAAUGAAGCACCAAAACAUGUUAUACAACAAAUUUGACAGAAAAAGUAGUUCAAUACGCAGUAAUGUUAUGUUGUAAUUACUGUAUUUAAGAAUUUAACACCAAAAUAUCACGAUAUAUUGAAAACAUUGACUACAAAAAUGGCUUGGAUAAUCCAGAAGCUUGGAUAAGUGAGACUCUACUGUACUUGCAAUGAAAAAAAAUUAGAAAAACCAGCACUGAUAUUAACCUUGCCUAUAAUAACAGACAGGCAACUUUUUAUUGAUGAAUCCAGAAUCACAGAAUAUCUCAGACAGGUGUAUGAUCCAUCCUGUACAUCCUUGCGUAGUCAAAUCCUCUUCUGUAUGUUUAGUCAAAAGCAGGAACUACUUUCAUGAAAGAUGUGAGCAUAGGAUUAAUUUUUGACAUCAUUAAAUGGCUUAAUGUGACUGGGCCAUUCCUUGCUUGGGCCAUUUACCAUUUUUCCAUCUUUAUUUUCAGGAACAAAAAUUGGUGACAAAAGGUAGUUUCUAGUGUAUUACACUUCCAUGAAAGUCAACAUUGACACUGAAAUGCAACACUGCCUGAGCUCUGCGAGUGCAGCAUUUUUCCAAAUGAAACAGAGUGUUUGAGGAUCAGGACAUCUGUAGGGAUACCAAGAAGCUUGUUUAUAAAGCUAUUGUCCUCUCAACUCUGUUGUAUGCCUGCAAAGCGUGGACUGUUUACAGAUGUCACACUCAAUUCCUGGAACGAUUCCAUCAAUGUUGCCUCCAAAAAUCCUGCAGAUCUCUUGGGGAAGACAUGCUGGAAGAAGCAAAGACCACCAGCAUUGAAGCGAUGCCCUUAAGCCAUCAACUCCGCUGGACUGGCCACAUUGUCUAAAUGUCCGAUCACCGUUUUCCAAAGCAGUUAGGAUACUCCCAACU
rnacentral:lncRNA from 1 species